UAAGGAAUAUUGGACAAUGGACGCAAGUCUGAUCCAGCCAUGCCGCGUGAAGGAUGACUGCCCUCUGGGUUGUAAACUUCUUUUAUAGGGGAAGAAAUGUUAUUUUUUAGGAUAUUUGAUCGGUACCCUAUGAAUAAGCACCGGCUAACUCCGUGCCAGCAGCCGCGGUAAUACGGAGGGUGCAAGCGUUAUCCGGAUUCACUGGGUUUAAAGGGUGCGUAGGCGGGUAUGUAAGUCAGUGGUGAAAUACCGGAGCUUAACUUCGGAACUGCCAUUGAUACUAUAUAUCUUGAAUAUUGUGGAGGUAAGCGGAAUAUGUCAUGUAGCGGUGAAAUGCUUAGAGAUGACAUAGAACACCGAUUGCGAAGGCAGCUUGCUACGCAAAUAUUGACGCUGAGGCACGAAAGCGUGGGGAUCAAACAGGAUUAGAUACCCUGGUAGUCCACGCCCUAAACGAUGAUUACUCGACAUUAGCGAUACACAGUUAGUGUCUGAGCGAAAGCAUUAAGUAAUCCACCUGGGAAGUACGACCGCAAGGUUGAAACUCAAAUGAAUUGAC
rnacentral:rRNA from 1 species